rnacentral:rRNA from 1 species
UACGUAGGUGGCAAGCGUUGUCCGGAUUUACUGGGUGUAAAGGGCGUGCAGCCGGAGAGACAAGUCAGAUGUGAAAUCCACGGGCUCAACCCGUGAACUGCAUUUGAAACUGUUUCCCUUGAGUGUCGGAGAGGUAAUCGGAAUUCCUUGUGUAGCGGUGAAAUGCGUAGAUAUAAGGAGGAACACCAGUGGCGAAGGCGGCUUACUGGACUGUAACUGACGUUGAGGCUCGAAAGCGUGGGGAGCAAACAGG